CCUUAUUAGAGGAUUGUGCUCAUGCCAGGGUGAGGUAGUAAGUUGUAUUGUUGUGGGGUAGGGAUAUUAGGCCCCAAUUAGAAGAUAACUAUACAACUUACUACUUUCCCUGGUGUGUGGCAUAUUCACACUUAGCCUU
rnacentral:pre_miRNA from 8 species